rnacentral:rRNA from 1 species
GACGAACGCUGGCGGCGUGCUUAACACAUGCAAGUCGAACGGAAAGGCCCUGCUUGCCGGGUACUCGAGUGGCGAACGGGUGAGUAACACGUCGGUGGUCUGCGCUGCACUUCGGGAUAAGACUGGGUAACUGGGUCUAAUACCGGGUAGGCGUCAUUUUUAGUGUGAUGGUUGGAAAGUAGUUUCGGUGAAGGAUUAGCUCGCGGCCUAGUAGCUUGUUGGUGGGGUAAUGGUCUACCAGGGCGGCGACGGGGAGCCGGCCUGGGCGGGUGGACGGACACAGUCACAUUGGGACUCAGCCCAGACCCCUACGGGAGGGAGCAGUGGCGAAGGUUGAUAAUUGGGCGCAAACCGGAUGCAGCGACGCCGCGGCGGGGAGGACGGCCAUCGGGUUGUAAACGCCUUGCGCUAUGGACGAAGCUUAUUAUGACGGUACCUAGAGAAGAAGCACCGGCUAACUACGUG